rnacentral:rRNA from 1 species
ACAACAGGUCGGAGCCUGCGGUUUAAUCGGACUCAACGCCGGGAAACUCACCAGAUAAGACAGCUGAAUGAUAGUCGGGCUGAAGACUCUACUUGACUAGCUGAGAGGAGGUGCAUGGCCGUCGUCAGUUCGGUACUGUGAAGCAUCCUGUUAAGUCAGGCAACGAGCGAGACCCACGCCAACAGUUGCCAGCUCGUCCUCCGGGAUGGUGGGGACACUGUUGGGACCGCCUCUGCUAAAGAGGAGGAAGGAAUGGGCAACGGUAGGUCAGCAUGCCCCGAAUUAUCUGGGCUACACGCGGGCUACAAUGGGUGGGACAAUGGGUAUCUACCCCGAAAGGGGACGGAAAUCUCCUAAAACCAAUCUUAGUUCGGAUUGAGGGCUGCAACUCGCCCUCAUGAAGCUGGAAUCCGUAGUAAUCGCGUUUCAACAGAACGCGGUGAAUACGUCCCUGCUCCUU